rnacentral:lncRNA from 1 species
GGGCAGGGCCAGGAUAGGGCGAUCCUGGAAGCUGGGCUUCAGAAGCGUCCAGGCAGGAAUCGGAGUGCUGUAGCACAAUCACAGCUCACUGCAGCCUCAAACUCCUGGGUUCCAGCGAUCCUCCCGCCUCAGCCUCCCCAGUAGCUGCGACUACAGGCAUGUGACACUACACCCAGCCCAGUAAAGGCACCAUUCCCCAUUUUACAGCUGGAGAAACUGAGUUACAGAGCUUGUUUGCAUUGAGUCAACAGGAGCAAAUGCUAGAUCAGUGGUCAUCCCAUGGUCUCAUGUGAUGAUGACGCUGAGGUGCUCUGCAGGCUGUGCUUCUCUGUGGCUCCCACCAGAUACCCGAUGGUCCUGUCGAUUUGCUGAAUCAUCAACUUCCUGUUCUCUGCUUCUGGCCCGAAUCGAUGUCCCACGUUAUCUGGCUCUCUGUAGCACAGAGUCACAAAGUCAAAGUCUUCCUUGGUGAACCAGUUCACAAUGGUAUCGAAGUUCUCCCUCCACUCUGUCUCGCUGCUGUUUGGCUGUCAGAGAAAGGAAAUGAAGCAGUGAAAGCAUCCUCCCAAAAGGGACUUUUAAAUCCUUCUACCUGGGCUGAACUACAGAGAAAAGGAAGCCAUUCUCACAGAAAGAUCUAUGGGAUCACAGAGUGGAGGGGACCUGAGCCCCAUGUCAUGGGACAAGCCCUGGGAAGAUGGCACCAUUCCCAAGACACAUGAGUUCUAUCGUUUGCCACCAUUUCCACUGCCUGGACCAAAGCAGAUGCUCAAAGAGUAUUCCCCGAGUGAAAGGAGGAAUACAGCAUCGGCCCUUUCAAAGAACUCUCCAGGAAGACUUUCCUUCAUCAGCAGCAGGGAAACCUAAUGAGGGUCAUAU